GAUACCAGGGUCAAAAGGUCUAAGCCCACAUGAGCUUGCUCAUAAGUGGGUGAAAGACCUUGGGACCCGCCCCGAUAUGAGCAUAAAAGUGGGAUGAUAAUCCCACGAUAUGCGAAUAUUGGGUGGGAUUGUGGAGCAAUCCG
rnacentral:sRNA from 1 species